rnacentral:rRNA from 1 species
GUAGGUGGCAAGCGUUGUCCGGAAUUAUUGGGCGUAAAGCGCGCGCAGGCGGUCCUUUAAGUCUGAUGUGAAAGCCCACGGCUCAACCGUGGAGGGUCAUUGGAAACUGGGGGACUUGAGUACAGAAGAGGAAAGCGGAAUUCCAAGUGUAGCGGUGAAAUGCGUAGAGAUUUGGAGGAACACCAGUGGCGAAGGCGGCUUUCUGGUCUGUAACUGACGCUGAGGCGCGAAAGCGUGGGGAGCAAACAGGAUUAGAUACCCUGGUGGUCCACGCCGUAAACGAUGAGUGCUAAGUGUUAGGGGGUUUCCCGCCCCCCUUAGUGCUGCAGCUAACGCAUUAAGCACUCCGCCUGGGGGAGUACGGCCCGCAAGGCUG